rnacentral:lncRNA from 1 species
CCGGUAUGAAUGGGAAAGCCCUGAAGUGGAAAUGAUUUGGAAGAAGUUUGCAAACGACCCCCCCCAUAGACAAACUUUCGAUGGGGUCCCGGUCCUGGUUAUUUAUGUUGAAGUUAUAGAUAAAGCCGGCCUCUUCCCUUGACUAUAGAGAAUAAUGCUACCACUUACUAUAAUUGAACUGGGCAUCCGGAUCCACUACAGCGAUUAGAU